AGGAGACUGCCGGUGACAAACCGGAGGAAGGUGGGGACGACGUCAAGUCAUCAUGGCCCUUACGUGUAAUGGGCGCAAGCCUGAUCCAGCCAUGCCGCGUGAGUGAUGAAGGCCUUCUGGUUGUAAAGCUCUUUUGUCACGGAACAAACGGUGAGGGCUAAUAUCCUAUGCUAAUGACGGUACCAGAAAAAUAAGCACCGGCUAACUACGUGCCAGCAGCCGCGGUAAUACAACCUGGGAUGGUCAUUUAGAACUGGCAGACUAGAGUCUUGGAGAGGGGAGUGGAAUUC
rnacentral:rRNA from 1 species